rnacentral:rRNA from 1 species
GACGAACGCUGGCGGCGUGCCUAAUACAUGCAAGUUGAGCGCUGAAGGUUGGUACUUGUACCAACUGGAUGAGCAGCGAACGGGUGAGUAACGCGUGGGGAAUCUGCCUUUGAGCGGGGGACAACAUUUGGAAACGAAUGCUAAUACCGCAUAAAAACUUUAAACACAAGUUUUAAGUUUGAAAGAUGCAAUUGCAUCACUCAAAGAUGAUCCCGCGUUGUAUUAGCUAGUUGGUGAGGUAAAGGCUCACCAAGGCGAUGAUACAUAGCCGACCUGAGAGGGGGAUCGGCCAAAAUGGGAACGAGACACGGCCCCAACCCCUACGGGAGGCAGCAGUAGGGAAUCUUCGGCAAUGGACGAAAGUCUGACCGGGCAACGCCGCGUGAGUGAAGAAGGUUUUCGGAUCGUAAAACCCUGUUGGUAGAGAAGAACGGUGGUGAGAGUGGAAAGCUCAUCAAGUGACGGUAACUACCCAGAAAGGGACGGCUAACUACGUG